UUCCGGUUGAUCCCGCCGGACCUGACUGCUAUCGGAUUGAUACUAAGCCAUGCUAGUCUUUGUAGUAAUACAAGGCAUACGGCUCAGUAACGCGUAGUCAACCUACCCUAUGGACGGGGAUAAUCUCGGGAAACUGAGCAUAAUACCCGGUAGACCACUUCUCCUGGAAUGGUUAGUGGUUAAAAUGAUUCGUCGCCAUAGGAUGGGACUGCGGCCUAUCAGCUUGUUGGUGAGGUAAUGGCCCACCAAGGCGAUUACAGGUACGGGCUCUGAGAGGAGAAGCCCGGAGAUGGGUACUGAGACAAGGACCCAGGCCCUAUGGGGCGCAGCAGGCGAGAAAACUUUGCAAUGUGCGAAAGCACGACAAGGUUAAUCCGAGUGAUUUCUGCUAAAGGAAUCUUUUGUUAGUUCUAAAUCUACUAGUGAAUAAGGGGUGGGCAAGUUCUGGUGUCAGCCGCCGCGGUAAAACCAGCACCUCAAGUGGUCAGGAGGAUUAUUGGGCCUAAAGCAUCCGUAGCCUGUUCUAUAAGUUUGCGGUUAAAUCUAUACGCUCAACGUAUAGGCUGCCGUAAAUACUGUAGAACUAGGGAGUGGGAGAGGUAGACGGUACUCGGUAGGAAGGGGUAAAAUCCUUUGAUCUAUUGAUGACCACCUGUGGCGAAGGCGGUCUACCAGAACACGUUCGACGGUGAGGGAUGAAAGCUGGGGGAGCAAACCGGAUUAGAUACCCGGGUAGUCCCAGCUGUAAACGAUGCAGACUCGAUGAUGCAAUGGCAUAGAGCUAUUGCAGUAUCGCAGGGAAGCCGUUAAGUCUGCCGCCUGGGAAGUACGUACGCAAGUAUGAAACUUAAAGGAAUUGGCGGGGGAGCACCACAAGGGGUGAAGCCUGCGGUUCAAUUGGAUUCAACGCCGG
rnacentral:rRNA from 1 species